UUUAUUUGAGAGUUUGAUCCUGGCUCAGGAUGAACGCUGGCGGCGUGCCUAACACAUGCAAGUUGAGCGAUUUACUUCGGUAAAGAGCGGCGGACGGGUGAGUAACGCGUGGGUAACCUACCCUGUACACACGGAUAACAUACCGAAAGGUAUGCUAAUACGGGAUAAUAUAUUUGAGAGGCAUCUCUUAAAUAUCAAAGGUGAGCCAGUACAGGAUGGACCCGCGUCUGAUUAGCUAGUUGGUAAGGUAACGGCUUACCAAGGCGACGAUCAGUAGCCGACCUGAGAGGGUGAUCGGCCACAUUGGAACUGAGACACGGUCCAAACUCCUACGGGAGGCAGCAGUGGGGAAUAUUGCACAAUGGGCGAAAGCCUGAUGCAGCAACG
rnacentral:rRNA from 1 species